GUUCGUGCCAAAAUGUUUAUUGUCUAAGCUGGAAUGACACCAGCCAAAGCAACAAUCCAGGAAGUGGACAGUCCCGAGGACUGAGUGCAAUGUGGAGUGGCCUGUUAAACAUGCCCCACUGGAGUGACAGUUGGUGGGAGCCAUUGACAAGGGCCAGCUUGCUUUAAUGACAUCUGACUGACCAAAGGCCACGUGCACUGCACUUUCCAAAUAAGGAGUCUUGUCACAGGACUUGAGGAGGCCACUUCCAGGAGUGCUUGAGACAGCCCCUGCUCUGUAUGUGUCCUGAAACCACAGGGCACAGGGUCCUGCCUCAUGUGAAAGCAUUUGGAGCACUGAGUCAGGCUUCUCACUCUAGAACCCUUUCCUCGGUGGGCCCAGUGGGCACCCGGCUGCCUGACAGCUUCCCCCCAAACACAGAGAGACACAGCUUGUCGUCAGGCUGAAUUGUCCCCACCGCACGGCGUCCCAGCCUCCCCGGCAGCACCUGUGCUCCAAGUCCAGAGUCGGCCUCCACUCACUCCCACUUCUGUGGGGGGGGCAGCAGUAAGUGAGGCAGAGGUGGCACGGGAGGGUGUCCCCGGCUUUGUGCCCUGGGUCACAUCGGGCAAUCAAACGCCAUCGGGAAUGUGCUUUUGUGGGUUUAGUGCGUCCCGGCGCGUUUAUAGGACCCUCUCAGGUUGACGUUGUAGUCAGAAAACAUCUCUGUUUCCAGCAGCAGACUGGGCUCCACCAGGUUUGGAGACUGAAGGAACAAUACACCGGAAUGGAUUCUCCCUUCGUUACUGAUGGGCAGGAGGGGCCGUGGGAGGCCGACCGCAGCGCCAGGAAGCUGCUCUGAGUCACGGCUCAGCCUUUCACUUUCACAAUCGCACUUCAGGACACCUUCUCUGGAAUAAUUGGGGGAAGAAGGUAAUUUAAACAGAGAAAGAUCGCCAUUUCCUGAAUUCCACGCCGAUGGGUCACGCAGCCCUUCCCUUCAACGGCUUCCACACGAAUAACACACCUGAGUCUGUCUGGUGGUGGGGUUUUGUCAGAGUUCACUGCCGGGUAGCUGCUUUGUGUGCUGUCUCUCAGUUGAAGAUGCGUUUUGUCCGUGUCAGGUUGUGUCGGUCUAACUAGUCCCCUGGCGCCUGCUAGGACUGGUGGGUGAGGAGUGGAGUGGGGAGCGCUUGCCGCCCAGACCAAAGGUGCCUGAAUUAGGUGCCUUGUUAAGAUGCGGAUUCAGACUUGAUGGGAACAAGCUGCCAGGUGGUGCUGGUGUUGUGAAAGUGUCCUCUGAAGCUCCUCCAUUGCCCCUUCUCAAUAAACUGAGUGGAGUGACAGCACCUAUUCCCUGGCUGUGUCUCCUGGGUGAUAUCUUCUGGCUGGCAGGAAGAUUGAUGCAAUAUAAUCUUUUGUAUGCUUUGGACGUGUUGGAAGAAAGACGAAAUGUGAGUUAUGAUUGUGAAAUCUAUUACAUUCUAGAAUUAUUAGUCCCAUUCGCUAAGAUUCUGGCACCUCAAGGACACAGCACCCCAGGGACAAUGGAUUCAAAGAACAGAAACCUUAGCACAGGUCCCUCCCUGGUGCCACGAUCUUCUCUUUGAAGUCACCUUUACACAUGACAAUCACGUUAGCUGCAAACGACAGACCGUGACGUGAUUGGUGGGGACUUCGUCCAGCUGGAAGCAGAGGUCCAGCCCCGUGCAGUCAGCUGCUCCCGUCCAUCCCGGUGUCCGGGGCACAGCUGGGCUUCAGCGGGCCCCAGUGAGCACAAGCCAGGAGGGCUGGUUCACCACAACGUGGCAAAAAUAAAACCUCAUGCCAAGAAGUGACCAAAUCAAAAUAGAAUUUCUUUUUUUGGUUCACUGCCGCAACACAAAGACCUGUCUUCAGAAUCGGCUGAGACAAGUGCUCGGAAGAACCCGAGAUUCCACCCUCAGGUAGCCCCUGAGACAGGAGAGGACAAGAGGCGGCCCGACAGCCCGCGCUGUGUUGGCUGGCGUAGACCCGCUCCACCUCCCACAGGCACCUGCUCUGAACACGCAGCAUGGUCACUAGGGCUCACACGCAUGCAUCAAUGCACAAGUGUCUGCGUGAGGACCAGCCCCCAGUGCUAACUACUACAGGAAAUUCUGAGAUGGCAUGUGGUCCCGCCCUGGAAGAGCUUAGCGUCUGGUUGGGCACAAACAUGAACACUCACCUUGCCACUCACUAACUAAUGCCAACUUACUACUUGGAACAGACGCAACGCUAUAAAGGAAGAACCAUCAUCCCCUUCUUCAGAUGAGGAAACUGAGGCUCAGAGAAUUUCAAUAACGUUGUGGAGGCAAUUGAGCGAAUCAAGACACUCAGAACAUGGGUCUGCCUCUCGCUCCACGUGGGCCAUCAGCGCACAUGCCAGCCUGGCCUUUCUGCCACCACUGUCGUUAAAUACCUGGGUUUUUGUGGGUCCAGCUCCAAGACCUAAGAGAAAUAAAACACUUCAACUGCUGAGGGCCAGGCCCUGCAUGAAUAUCACAAAACUGAAGAGGUUUCCUGCCCCCCAGGCACCUGACACUGCUGUGGAAAACUGGCCACCACCCAAGGGAAAUGAUCCAUAAUUCCAUCCCGUCUCAUCAUUAGUGGCUUGCUCGGUUAGCCACUGGUGAAAAGACAGGAAAAUCUUAGGGAAACGAGCCAUUUCUUGUGCCCUAAGCCCUGUAGCCAUUAUUGAUUUUAUAAGCAAAUCAUCAACUUCAUAACAGUGUUGAAAGUGUAUUGUAUUUUUCAGAUAGACGAUUAUUGUUGAAAAUCUUUUAAUUACAGAAAAAUCACAAAGAAGAAAAUAAAUCUCUACGCAACUUGUCUGAACCACACAGAGUCCAUACUUGGCCAAGAGCCUUGCACCAACCAUCAUCUUUGAAGUUUCGGGUAAAAGAUAAUGAAAUGCCAGCGGGGUAGGCCCAAUAGCCGGUAAAAAGAGUGUAGCGACAGAUCAGAGCGAUCUGGGCGCUAGGGUUCACGAGCUACGUCACUUUGGAAGAGAUA